rnacentral:lncRNA from 10 species
AAAAAAGGCUGCUUCAACCCCUGCUGCAAGCAAAGUUCCGAUUCCCUCUGCUGGCUAUCUCGAAUAGCAAGCGAUUUUUGCAGCAACGCUGCUGCCGCUGGAACUGAACCUGAAGAACUCAAAUGCGGGCGGUGGAUUAUUUCUUAUCCCUCCUCCAUCUACCCCACACAAGAGCUGCUUUUUGUUCCUCUUUUUGCCAAGUUCCAAGGUAAGCCACACUGCUAAACAAAACACAGAAGAGAGGGAAGAGAGGACGAAAGAAGGAAGGAGGAGAAAGGAAAAGAAAUAAAGGCAGGGGAACUAACCUUGCUGGUUAAAGGGGAAAAAAGUAAGUCCCGGAUGCUUUCAAAAUCUGUUAACACGCUAGAGCCAGACGCAUCCAAGAGCUGAUUGAGAAACUAACCUUUUACUACCUGGAAAACUUGGUGGAUGUUAAGUAUUGAAGAAAUUUUAGGGUCUACUCCAGGACUACUAUUAAUGCCACAUGUCAUCAGAUUGGACUGAUCAACUGAACAUAUCAAAAAUAAUAACUUUUUUAAAAUACAUCCAUUUUGUAAAAAAAAAAAAAAAAAAAAUCAAAGGAAGUGACCCCUUAGGUUCGUCAGAUAUUUUACAGAUAAAAUCUGUUUCUCCCAUUGUCUCUCUCUUUAUGAUUAUUUUGUUGCAUUGAUGCUUUAAUCACUUUACUGAUAUCAUCUAAAAAAAAAAGAACAAAAAUCAUAAUUGCUUGGCAGAGUUUUUUCCCACCAAUGAUAAUAUUCUGUCAUGUCUAUCAGCUGCUACAUUAUAAUACAAAUUGUUUCAGAUAAAAUAUAUUUCCUUAAAGGGUCCCUUUUCAAGGCGGGCGAGGCUAAAAUUAGAUGUGCCAGCUGUGUUUUGCUGCGAGUGCUCACGCAUGCCCAAAGCGUGGGCAGACCAAUACUGAGCUCUUUUCUACUUUGUCAAGUCGGCUCUGUUCUCCUGAGCCCAGAGUCUCCUAUUUAGAUAAAAGGUCCCUGGUACAAAUCCAGCUUCCUAGUCAAGAAGAACAGAGAAUUUGGGCUCAGUGCACACAUGGUGUCCAUCCACAUACAAGCCGCACCACCCCUAAAGCAACUGGCUUCCACCGAGGGGAACUGGUUUCUGGAAGCUGUGUGAGUGCAUACGUGUUCCUUGGAUAAAAAUAAGGAUGGCAGGAUACAAUGAGAAGACCUGCCUUCUGCAAACCCGGAGGCAAGCCCUCAUCAGACACCAGGUCUGCUGCCACCAUGAUGUUGGACUGCUCAGCCUCCAGAACUGAGUCUUGAGACUUCUCUUCUUUUGGUGUGGAUUCCGGAACUCCUUUCUGAAGCAAGAGGCAAAUAUCUCUCAGCAGAGAAUGCCAAGACCAAUCACUUAACCAUGGCAAUCUUACUCAGCAUGGUAAUUCCCACCCUGAUGGUCCCAAGAUGGCUGCAGCAGUUUCAGCCAUGUUAUCCUAAUCCACCAACAUCUGGAGGUAUCUGUCUUUUCAAUCUCCAUCUAUUACAAAUGUAGGAUACUUUUACCAGAAGGUCCUCCUCUAGACUACUACUCAUGUUUCAUUGGACAAAUUUGGUCCCAUGGAAUUUCUUAAGUCAUUUACUGAUGAGGAAAGUGGAAUUAUCAUGACUGGAUUAGACUACCUAAGAUUCACCACUCCUGAGCCUGGAGAAAGAUAAUUUUCUCAGAGCAAACAACUGCAUAUGGCUGAAGAUAGGAAUGAACUAUAAAACAAAAUUGGAGUCCUCCAGGAAAGAAAGGGGGAAUUAAAGGGAAAUGAUUGUGUAGGCAAAACACAAUAGUCUCCAAUGCCAAAUAAACUUUGUUUUGUUACUCUCUCAUCUACUUUAUCACAUUUUUUUCCUUGUUACCCUUCUCACCUUAAUUCAUCACCAAUAAGCCUCUUUAAAUCAAAUUUUUGAUGGUCAUCCAUAAAUCUCCAAGAAAUUGAGUGAUAAUUAACAUUACAGUGAUAAUGAGCUUAAGGUCUUGUUUCUUCUUGAAAGCUGGGAGGGUAGGAGGGGAGUGAAUGGUAAGAAAUUACUUAGUGGGGGCAAUACUCAUUAUUUGGGUGAUGGGUUACCCUAUAAGUCCAGACUUUACCAUUAUACAAUAUAUCCAUGUAACAAAACUGCAUUUGCACCAUUUAAAUGUAUACAAAUUUUUAAAAAGAAAGCUCUAAAAGAUAUAAACAUCUUCAAGAUCUAUAGGAAUAAAGCAGUCAUGGGGGUGUGGCAGGCAAGAAAGGAUUUAAGGCCCAGUUCGCUCCUAUGACCUCCUCACUUUAUCUCCUAUCACACUACUCUGCACACUCUGUUAUGGCCACGUCGGCCUCUCUGCAGUUCCUCUAAGAGGCCAGCAUUCUCUCACCCUGGGGACUUUGUACUUUACUUCCCUGUGCCCACACCAAGCUUUCUUCAUAUAACCAUGUUACUUAAUUCCUCCCUUACUAUGAGUUUCUGCUCACGUGCCACCUUAUUAAAGAGGUUUGUCCUGACCAUCUUAUGUAACAUAGCAACUUUAUUUCAUUCUUUGUCCUAUUACCCCAGUUUAUAUAUGCUUAUGGCUCUUAUAACCACCUGACAUGGUAUGCAUUUAUUUAUUGUUCUUAUAAGUAAUUAUCCAUGAGACAAGUGUUUAUAUUUUGUUCACAGUUUGUUUCUCUGAGCCUAGUAUAGUGCCUGACACAUAUAGGCAUGUCUUAAAUAUGUAUAGAAUGAACUGAUGGGUGGCUACUGGCCAUGGGAAACUUAGAUGAUCUUUCUGUUCCUUAACGUAGAUCACAACAUAAUUCAAGAGGUACCUCAUCCUGGGCAGGCAUCUUUCUCUAUGAUAAUCAGUAAUACCCAUAGUAAGCCCAAGUAAGUCGAUAUCUUUCUUCUUUCAUCUACUUUCCUCUAAGCAAGACCCUCAUUUUUUAGGGUGAGCUGUUUAUGUUGAAAGCUGAACAGCAUCUAUCAUUCUAAUAAGAAAUAAAAGGCAAAUCCCAACAGAGUAGUGACUGAGACACAUCCUACAACUUAUAAUACUCUAAUUAGAAAAUGUGUUUUAAUUCUGAUUCAAUUGUAUUUUAUAUGCCAGAAAUAGUCAUAAAAACGUAUGUCAAAAUCAUGAAGAAAUAAGGUAAUAUAAUUAGUCAAUAGUGAUUUAAAAAAUAAGUUUAGUAUGGCUUGGAAUUUCCAUUUGAUGUGGAACUUAAGCCACAUAUGCACAAAAUGUUUCGGAGACUUCCAGGCAAAAUGGCAAUAGGAAUACUAGACAUAAUUGCCAGCAGAAAAACAUGGAAACGUCUAUAUACAAGAUUGAAAGGAAGACAGCCAGACUACAGUGAUAGGCAGGUGAGGGAACAGCCUAUGUGCAUUACAUAUGAAAGACGUCCCUGCAGAACCUAGUAACAUCCACUGUCUGUGUGCCGGCAGUGGUGGUAGGUGAAUAUCUGAACCCCACUAGUAUUGCUGGGAAGACUGUGAGAUAGGGACCACGAAGACCAGCCUGUCCAGGCCUAUGCUAGGUGAGAAGAGCCCAGUCAGCAUGGGAAAGGGAUCAUCUUAGAAUGAGGUCACCCUUGCCUGGCAAAGAGAAGGACCCUGGUCCCCUGUCUCUGGGUUUCCUCACCAAACUCAGAGGAUAAAUUCUUUGGGAAAUUUCUCAAGUUAAGGGGAUCUGAAGUGGUAAGAUGAAGGCACAGCAAACCCAAACAGAUUUCUUUUCUGAAAAGAGUUCAGCAAACUGCCCCUCAAUCUCUGACAGAACCCAUUUUAAUUCUCAAUUCUGAGUAUUGAGUAACAAGUUUGAUUUAUGAAAUGCUAUGUAACUUUUGUUUUAAAUAUCACAUUCUCAACUAACAUUUGAGGAUGUAAGAGAUCCUUUUAUUAUAUGUGUUAUAUUAAGUGAAAAAUGUGUAAACAAGUAGGUGAUUUAGGAUUACAACCUGAAAAUAUUUUAUACAACUAAACACACAAAAAUUGAUACAAAAGUAUGGCACAGAUAUACAGUUGGCACUCAGUAUCCAGGGGGGAUUGGUCCCAGAACCCUUUGUGAUACCAAUAUCUGUGGAUGCUCAAGUCCCUUAAUAGUGUAAUAGUGUAGUAUUAGCAUAUAACCUAUGCACAUCUUCCCAUAUAUGUGAAAUCAUCUCUAGAUUACUUAUAAUGUCUCAUACAAUGUAAAUGCUAUGUAAAUAGUUGGAAUACUGUAUUGUUUAGAGAAUCAUUACAAGAAAAAAAAGUGUUUGUACCUUUAUAGCACAGACGCAGCCAUCCAUUUUUUUCUCCCAAAUAUUUUCAAUCCAUGAUUGGUUGAAUCCACAAAUGUGGAGUCCACUGAUGUGGAGGGCCAACUGCACUCCAUUAUGGCAACUGUAUCAAAAUCGCAAAGUUAUUUUUAUUCUUACUUUUCAUAUGUUAGGUGAGAAGAAACUUAAUUGGCCUUUUAUUCAGGAUAUAUCCAGAAUCCAAACACUAUCUACAAUUGCUGCCACUCUGGCCUGAACCACCAUCAUUUUUUUUUUCUCAAAUUGCUGCAUUAGCCUCCUAAUAGUUCUACUGGCUUCCCUUCUUGCCCACUGUGUGCCCCAUGGUGUAGUUUCUACACAGCAGACAGAGUGGCCUUUCAAAGACGUAAGUCAGAUUUCUCUGCUCAGAACUUCCCAGUGACUGCACAUCACUGUCAUUUCAUAAGCCUCUCUAUUAACUAGUCAGACAUUAUGUUCUGCUACUGUUCUUGUACUGACUCUUGUCCAACCACACUGACCUCCUUGUGGGUCCUUAGAUUUGACAAUCAUGUUCUUUCCUUUGCACGGGCUGUUCUUGCUGCCUGGAAUUCUUCCUUUAGUUAGCACUCUCUUCAAGCCUUUAAUGUAACCUUCUCAAGAAAUCCAGCUACCCCCUCAACACACCCCCUCCUCCUUCUAGUCUUGCCAAAUAUCUCCAAACUUCCUUCCCAGAGUCAUGUUGCACAGUUCCAGGGGAUGGGUGUCUCAUAAAAUAGAAUGUGAAUGAUACUUACUGAAAUUGUGUGGAAUGUGAAGACCUCACUUUAUUUUUCUCGAUAGUUCUUAUCACCUUUUAAUACAUUAUAUCAUUUACUUUUUAAAAAUUGUCUAUCUCCUCCUCUAGGAUCAUCAGCUCCAUGAGGGUGGGAAUGUCUGUUGUACUUACUGCUAUAACCUCAGUUCCUAGAACAAUGUCUGGCACAUAGUACACGCUAAAAAAUAAAUGAAUCACAGGGUAGUAUA